GGCCUCGUAGCUCAUCUGGUAGUACAUGCGCGUACAAAGCGUAGGCGGCGUCCAUGCGUGGGUUCGAAUCCCAUUGAGGCUA
rnacentral:tRNA from 1 species